rnacentral:rRNA from 1 species
GACACGCUGUGACUAGCAUAUCAAUAAGCGGAGGAAAAGAAACUAACAAGGAUUCCCCUAGUAACGGCGAGUGAAGCGGGAAGAGCUCAAAUUUGAAAUCUUAAAGGGUUUCCCUUUACGAAUUGUAGUUUAAAGAAGUGUUUUCUGUUGAGGUUUUGGUAAAAGUUCUUUGGAAUAGGACAUCAUAGAGGGUGAGAAUCCCGUAUUUGACCUUUACUUUCAACUCUGUGAUACACUUUCAAAGAGUCGGAUUGUUUGGGAAUGCAGUCCAAAAUGGGUGGUAAAUUUCAUCUAAAGCUAAAUAUUGGCGAGAGACCGAUAGCGAACAAGUACCGUGAGGGAAAGAUGAAAAGAACUUUGAAAAGAGAGUUAAACAGUACGUGAAAUUGUCAAAAGGGAAGCGUUUGACACCAGUGUUGUUUUUCUGAAAAUCAAUUAAAGAACUGUUUAUGCUAAGUUGUUUAGACUUUAUCAGCUAACUGUUUAGUUUUGAGCUUUUCUUUAAUGCACUUUUCAGUUAACAAGUCAACAUCAAUUUCUUUUGCUGUAAAAAAGCUUGAGGAAGGUGGCUUGAGAUUCGUCUUAAGUGUUUAUAGCCUCUUGCCUAUGCAGUCGGAGAGAUUGAGGUCUGCAGCGUAGAUCCUUCGGGGCUAAAUGCAUUUGUGCUAAGUUAUAGCAUUUUAUAGACAACUUGUUGACUAUGAUUUGUCUUGUAGCUUACUCGCUUAUGUUAUUUUACCUACGCUUAGGAUGUUGACAGCAGUAUAGACUGU